UUGGAGGGCAAGUCUGGUGCCAGCAGCCGCGGUAAUUCCAGCUCCAAUAGCGUAUAUUAAAGUUGCUGCAGUUAAAAGGCUCGUAGUUGAAUUCCGGGAUCAGUACGCCGGUCGUGCCUCCGGUAUGUACUGGUGUCACUGAUUCCUCCCUUCUGAAGAACCAUCAUGCCAUUCACUUGGUGUGGUGGGGAAUCAGGACUGUUACUUUGAAAAAAUUAGAGUGUUUAAAGCAGGCUCACGCUUGAAUACAUUAGCAUGGAAUAAUGAAAUAGGACGUUGAUCCUAUUUUGUUGGUUUCUAGGAUUGACGUAAUGAUUAAUAGGGAUAGUUGGGGGCAUUAGUAUUCAAUUGUCAGAGGUGAAAUUCUUGGAUUUAUUGAAGACUAACUACUGCGAAAGCAUUUGCCAAGGAUGUUUUCAUUAAUCAAGAACGAAAGUUAGGGGAUCGAAGACGAUCAGAUACUGUCGUAGUCUUAACCCUAAAAAUUCCGCGAAUAGGGAUAGGGGAGAAAUCUUUUUAGUCG
rnacentral:rRNA from 1 species